GGGGGUUAAGCAAUCCAACAUUUGAAAAUACUAUUAAAUAGGUUAUUUGUUUACCAUAUUUAAAGUUCUUUAAAAGGGGCGUGCUUCCUGUCCCCUCCAUCCCCUAAAAACUAACCCGCCUUGCCAAACAAACGGUUAGAUGUGAUUCAUGUAAAUGUAGCUGUACAGUGGAGCCUAUAGAAAGUUUACCAUUUAAUAACCGAAAAUCAACAUAUUUUUAAACUUUAUUUGUUUGUUCUGGGAGCGAAUCUUGGUUCAUUUAAAAUAUAGGACAACAGAGUUGGUGUAUGUGGGUUCGAUUCCCA
rnacentral:lncRNA from 1 species